rnacentral:rRNA from 1 species
AUUGAACGCUGGCGGCAGGCCUAACACAUGCAAGUCGAGCGGAUGACAGGAGCUUGCUCCUGAAUUCAGCGGCGGACGGGUGAGUAAUGCCUAGGAAUCUGCCUGGUAGUGGGGGACAACGUUUCGAAAGGAACGCUAAUACCGCAUACGUCCUACGGGAGAAAGCAGGGGACCUUCGGGCCUUGCGCUAUCAGAUGAGCCUAGGUCGGAUUAGCUAGUUGGUGAGGUAAUGGCUCACCAAGGCGACGAUCCGUAACUGGUCUGAGAGGAUGAUCAGUCACACUGGAACUGAGACACGGUCCAGACUCCUACGGGAGGCAGCAGUGGGGAAUAUUGGACAAUGGGCGAAAGCCUGAUCCAGCCAUGCCGCGUGUGUGAAGAAGGUCUUCGGAUUGUAAAGCACUUUAAGUUGGGAGGAAGGGCAUUAACCCUAAUACGUUAGUG